rnacentral:rRNA from 1 species
CAGUCGCCACGGGAAUACGGAGGAUCCGAGCGUUAUCCGGAAUUAUUGGGUUUAAAGGGUGCGUAGGCGGAUAGAUAAGUCAGUGGUGAAAGACGGUGGCUCAACCAUCGCAGUGCCGUUGAUACUGUUUAUCUUGAAUAUGGAUGAGGUAGGCGGAAUGUGGCAAGUAGCGGUGAAAUGCAUAGAUAUGCCACAGAACACCGAUUGCGAAGGCAGCUUACCAAGGCAAAAUUGACGCUGAGGCACGAAAGCGUGGGGAUCGAACAGGAUUAGAUACCCGAGUAGUCCCUGUCUCUUAUAC